GUACACUCCUGCGGGAGGCAGCAGUGGGGAAUUUUGGACAAUGGGCGAAAGCCUGAUCCAGCAAUGCCGCGUGAGUGAAGAAGGCCUUCGGGUUGUAAAGCUCUUUUGUCAGGGAAGAAACGGUGAAAGCUAAUAUCUUUUGCUAAUGACGGUACCUGAAGAAUAAGCACCGGCUAACUACGUGCCAGCAGCCGCGGUAAUACGUAGGGUGCAAGCGUUAAUCGGAAUUACUGGGCGUAAAGCGUGCGCAGGCGGUUUUGUAAGUCUGAUGUGAAAUCCCCGGGCUCAACCUGGGAAUUACAUUGGAGACUGCAAGGCUAGAAUCUGGCAGAGGGGGGUAGAAUUCCACGUGUAGCAGUGAAAUGCGUAGAUAUGUGGAGGAACACCGAUGGCGAAGGCAGCCCCCUGGGUCAAGAUUGACGCUCAUGCACGAAAGCGUGGGGAGCAAACAGGAUGAGAAACCCCUGUAGUCCCAUGA
rnacentral:rRNA from 1 species